rnacentral:lncRNA from 1 species
GUUUUUGCUUAGCUGGCAGCAGAGUGCUUUUGUCCUUACACUUUCUCCAGGAGGCGACUGUUAAGAAAUGGUUGGACUCAGCACACAGCAGUGUGUCGUUCUGACCCACUUGCAUGUCCUCAUGACCACAUCUUCCCAGCAAAUCCCUGCCUGGCUUAGCUGGCGGGAAGGUGACGUGGAUACCUGCUUGGAGUUGCUCCCAAGAGGCCUUUUGCUGGGACAGAAAGAGGAAUAAUAACUGCAGGCAAAGCUACCACCCAAUUGGUUGGCCCUGUAGUAUGACAGCAACCUACUGCUGAUUGAAGCAGAUGUUUAAAGGAGGAAACGAUGAGUUCAGUUCCUACUUAAGCCCAAUUCCCAACAGAACCAUGGAAGCAAUGCUUUGAAAGGAGUAAUCAUCCUCAUGAUACAAGAAUUUUUCCCAUAGAUGAUGUAUUUUUGAACUGAUUUCAACUUUUUUUUUCCCCACUAAUCUUGCAAAAUGCUUCCUUUUGAUGGAAGGCAUUAAAACAUUGAUCUUUUGGUGGAUAUGGGCAAGUCUGGCUGGAUGUUUCCGAGAGAUACAUUCUCUAUAUAAUAACAUUAAUGGAGAUUUCAUUCUAGGAUAAAUUUAUUUAGUGUGACAAUAUCGAUGUACUCUAAUUGACUGCAGACACAUAAUAUAGGAAAACUCUUGC